UACGUAGGGUGCGAGCGUUGUCCGGAAUUAUUGGGCGUAAAGGGCUCGUAGGCGGUUUGUCACGUCAGGAGUGAAAACUCGGGGCUCAACCCCGAGCCUGCUUCUGAUACGGGCAGACUGGAGGUAUGCAGGGGAGAACGGAAUUCCUGGUGUAGCGGUGAAAUGCGCAGAUAUCAGGAGGAACACCGGUGGCGAAGGCGGUUCUCUGGGCAACAACUGACGCUGGAGGAGCGAAAAGCGUGGGGGAGCGAACAGG
rnacentral:rRNA from 1 species